UAGGGAAUCUUCGGCAAUGGGGGGAACCCUGACCGAGCAACGCCGCGUGAGUGAAGAAGGUUUUCGGAUCGUAAAGCUCUGUUGUUAAGGAAGAACGAGUGUGAGAAUGGAAAGUUCAUGCUGUGACGGUACUUAACCAGAAAGGGACGGCUAACUACGUGCCAGCAGCCGCGGUAAUACGUAGGUCCCGAGCGUUGUCCGGAUUUAUUGGGCGUAAAGCGAGCGCAGGCGGUUAGAAAAGUCUGAAGUGAAAGGCAGUGGCUCAACCAUUGUAGGCUUUGGAAACUGUUUAACUGGAGUGCAGAAGGGGAGAGUGGAAUUCCAUGUGUAGCGGUGAAAUGCGUAGAUAUAUGGAGGAACACCGGUGGCGAAAGCGGCUCUCUGGUCUGUAACUGACGCUGAGGCUCGAAAGCGUGGGGAGCGAACAGG
rnacentral:rRNA from 2 species